rnacentral:rRNA from 1 species
UACGUAGGGGGCAAGCGUUGUCCGGAUUUAUUAGGCGUAAAGAGCGUGUAGGCGGCUAGACUGGUCUGCUGUGAAAACUCGAGGCUCAACCUCGAGAUGUCGGCGGAAACCGUCUGGCUAGAGUCCGGAAGAGGAGAGUGGAAUUCCUGGUGUAGCGGUGAAAUGCGCAGAUAUCAGGAAGAACACCUAUGGCGAAGGCAGCUCUCUGGGACGGUACUGACGCUGAGACGCGAAAGCGUGGGGAGCAAACAGG